rnacentral:rRNA from 1 species
UACGGGGGGAGCAAGCGUUGUUCGGAUUUACUGGGCGUAAAGGGCGCGUAGGCGGCCAGCGCAAGUCGGUUGUGAAAUCUCCGGGCUUAACUCGGAAAGGUCAACUGAUACUGCGCGGCUAGAGUGCAGAAGGGGCAACUGGAAUUCUCGGUGUAGCGGUGAAAUGCGCAGAUAUCAGGAGGAACACCGGUGGCGAAGGCGGGUCUCUGGGCCGAUACUGACGCUGAGGAGCGAAAGCGUGGGGAGCGAACAGG